UCCUAAGCUGAGGCCGACAGGCGUAGGCGAUGGAUAACAGGUUGAUAUUCCUGUACCACCAUUAUUCGUUUUAAGCGAUGGGGGGACGCAGUAGGAUAGGCGAAGCGUGCUGUUGGAGUGCACGUCCAAGCAGUGAGAUUGAGUGUUAGGCAAAUCCGGCACUCUUAAGAUUGAGCUGUGAUGGGGAGAGGAACUUGUUCCUCGAGUCGUUGAUUUCACACUGCCGAGAAAAGCCUCUAGCUAGAAUAACGGUGCCCGUACCGCAAACCGACACAGGUAGUCAAGAUGAGAAUUCUAAGGUGAGCGAGCGAACUCUCGUUAAGGAACUCGGCAAAAUGACCCCGUAACUUCGGGAGAAGGGGUGCUCUUUGAGGUUCACGCUUCGAAGAGCCGCAGUGAAUAGGCCCAAGCGACUGUUUAUCAAAAACACAGGUCUCUGCUAAACCGUAAGGUGACGUAUAGGGGCUGACGCCUGCCCGGUGCUGGAAGGUUAAGAGGAGUGGUUAGCGCAAGCGAAGCUACGAAUCGAAGCCCCAGUAAACGGCGGCCGUAACUAUAACGGUCCUAAGGUAGCGAAAUUCCUUGUCGGGUAAGUUCCGACCCGCACGAAAGGCGUAACGAUUUGGGCACUGUCUCAACGAGAGACUCGGUGAAAUCAUAGUACCGGUGAAGAUGCCGGUUACCCGCGACAGGACGGAAAGACCCCGUGGAGCUUUACUGUAGCCUGAUAUUGAAAUUCGGUACAGUUUGUACAGGAUAGGUAGGAGCCUUAGAAGCGUGAGCGCUAGCUUACGUGGAGGCAUUGGUGGGAUACUACCCUAAUUGUAUUGGAUUUCUAACCCGCAGCACUUAUCGUGCUGGGAGACAGUGUCAGGCGGGCAGUUUGACUGGGGCGGUCGCCUCCUAAAGAGUAACGGAGGCGCUCAAAGGUUCCCUCAGAAUGGUUGGAAAUCAUUCAUAGAGUGUAAAGGCAUAAGGGAGCUUGACUGCGAGACCUACAAGUCGAGCAGGGUCGAAAGACGGACUUAGUGAUCCGGUGGUUCCGCAUGGAAGGGCCAUCGCUCAACGGAUAAAAGCUACCCCGGGGAUAACAGGCUUAUCUCCCCCAAGAGUUCACAUCGACGGGGAGGUUUGGCACCUCGAUGUCGGCUCAUCGCAUCCUGGGGCUGUAGUCGGUCCCAAGGGUUGGGCUGUUCGCCCAUUAAAGCGGUACGCGAGCUGGGUUCAGAACGUCGUGAGACAGUUCGGUCCCUAUCCGUCGUGGGCGUAGGAAAUUUGAGAGGAGCUGUCCUUAGUACGAGAGGACCGGGAUGGACAUACCUCUGGUGUACCAGUUGUCGUGCCAACGGCAUAGCUGGGUAGCUAUGUAUGGACGGGAUAAGUGCUGAAAGCAUCUAAGCAUGAAGCCCCCCUCGAGAUGAGAUUUCCCAACUUCGGUUAUAAG
rnacentral:rRNA from 1 species